GCCUUGGUAGCCUAGUGGUAAGGGCGUGGGGACGUUAUUCCCAAAGUCUUGAGUUCGAUUCUUACAUGAUGCC
rnacentral:tRNA from 1 species